UGAGGAGUGGCCAAAUGGUAAGGCUCCUGAUUCUGGAUCAGGCAAUUCCAGGUUCGAGUCCUGGCUCCUCAG
rfam:Chlorobium limicola DSM 245, complete genome.